CCCCUAACAGACAAAAGGCUCAUGGGGAGAGUUCCUGCAGUUUACAGCAAAGCUCUCAAUUGUAGCCCUACAAACUUCAGAUACUGCCGAUGGUGAAGCUUGGGUGCACUGGGCCGGUUAUCCAGCCGUGUGGAAUCAACAUCUCCAGCUGAACUGGGGCCGGGAAUUAUAUAAGAAUCCUUAGCAGCAUGAGUGCCUGCCAGUCAUUGCUGUUCUUUGCAUUGCUGAGGAGGACAGUCCUGCCAACAUAACAGUUUGUUCAAUAACAGGAGACAAACAGAAACACAGAGGUGCUAUACAUUCCGAUGGAAAAGACAACAAAAGCAUCUCCAAUCAUUUUGGCGUGGCUCAGAUCAAGAGGAGAAUUUUAAGAAAGG